rnacentral:rRNA from 1 species
AUGGACUUCCUCAUCGAGCCGUCGCCGGAGUUCCAAGUCCGCUCCGCUCGAAACCAUCUUCAACCUCCGUCAGCCCUUGUUCAUCGAUGCCCCGCCAAGCACACGCCAAGCCGUCGCCGCGUCGAUCUCCACCGCCCAAGUCCGCCGUCCCGCCGCCCGCCGGACCUCCCUGGCUUUCUUCCUUCACUGCAUACCAUCACUCCUCGAACGCAUCAAGUCCCCCUGCAUCAAGCACCGCCCUUGCCAAGACACAUCGAGUGCACUCACACACGUGGUGUCAAGGGCGUUGACCGCGCCCCUGCCUGGCUAGAUCACCAGCGCCUCCCAGCUCGAUCCCCUGCUCGACUGCUCGCAUGGUUGGGCUCCAACCUCGGCUCAGGUUCCCUUCUCCCCCCUCAGCUCAGGUUUGUUGCAUCCCUUCCUUCCUCGCUCGAUCUCCACCUCCCAAUCCCACGGACCUCGCCCUACCACUUGUUACCGACCUAUAUCAUCCACAUGAGAGGUUGCUGCUCUACAGGCUGCACUCCCACUAGGAGAGGGCCACUAAUGCUGCUCCUCGGCCUCGUGGCCACGGCCUUGGCCGCUGCUGUUGCGGCGGCCGACGACAUCUCGGAGGGCGACACCGAUCCGCUCUACAGAGCUUGCUUCGAAGAAUGUCAAAGAACUGGCACCAUGAAAGAGGAUUCUAUUAAACAUUGUGUUGUGCUGACCGAUGACCAGCCUAGUGGUACAGCAUGGAAAGGGAAGAGCUUGGACUAG